AAGGAAAAAAUGGCUGAUUUUGCUAAAAAGCCUGAAACUUGCCGAGAGGCAUCAUGUGUGACAUCAUCUGCAUCUCAAGAGAAUACUGUGCUGUUUAGGAGAGGUAAUGAUAUUAAUGUCCCUUUAACUGACUUGUUUUAUGCUUUUAAAGGGAUAGUUCACUCAGCAAUGACAAAUUGUCGUCAUUUACUCAUCCUCAUAAUGUUCCAAAGCCAUUUUUUUUUUUCAUCUUUGAAACACAAAUGAAGAUAUUUUUUAUAUUCUCUCAUCAUUUUUGUCCAUCCAAAGGCAAAUUGCAAGUGAAGCCUAAAAUCCCCAAAACAACAUCUACUAAAGAUGAUUUCUCAAGACCUUCGCAAUCUCACUUUGGGUAUAAUGAUCCAGCCACAGCUCUAAUCAUUAAACCAGCACAUCUGAUUAAAGAAGAAUCCAUUAAAGUGGAACAGAGGUCUGAUCAAGAAGAUUUCUCUGAUAUUCCAAAAGAGGAGUUCGACGGAGAGCCUUCUGUGAUUGCUUCGUCCUCACAACUUCAACAGCUUAUACCAAAAACAACAGCAUGCACUGAAUUGCAACCAGAGGAACUGAAAAUAGAGGAUGGGCAUGAGGAUGCUGGACACGUGGUGGUGUCUGAUAUAUCGGUGCCGGUUUCUGCUGAAAUGGAAGAUGGUGAUCAUAUGGCGAGUGGAAGUUCCAUCCAAAGCAGUCUUCACAUGGGUGCCGUCGCUACAGAAGCAGACCAGGAAAAGCAUUCACAUGAGGGUGUUUCACACAUACUGCUGACUGAUAUAUUGAUCCCCGUCUGUGAGGACAUGAAAGAUGAUCUGAGCAAGGAAAGGACAACAACUGGGAAGAGAAGCCCACUUGUGGCAGAAAGAUCACAGGUGAGAGAGGAUCCAGAUACUGUACACCUGUCAUGUGCAGUGUCACAAUCAUCAAACGAGGGACCAUCAGUAUCACCCAAGAGGAAAAGACAGACUCAGGCAAAAGGUGGUGAAAAACUCUUGAAACCGUAAUUUCUCAAUUUACUGCUUAGUUUCUGUAAAAACGUGAUGAAUUUUCUUUAAUUGAGUAAUGUUUCUGAUGCUUUUAAUGCCUCUUGCUUUUAAGGCAAGUUAUUGGUAGAGAUGACGUUUCCCAAAAGGAAGACUGGAGAUUCCCCUAAGAGUGACGAGCAAUCACAAACCAUUCCUUCGUCAACCUUAAUGUCAGAGUCAACACAAUGUAGUGCUGAGACAUGGUAUGAGUGAUCUGUAUAUUUUAAGUUUUAAUCAAAAUAUUAGUUAAAUUACUGAUGGUUUGGUCUUUCUGUCAUAGUGCUGGCUUGCUGCCCAUUGGCUCAGAGGACCGUGAGGAGGCAUGUGGGGGUGUUUCUCACAUGGUGCUCUCUAAUAUUUUGGUGCCUGUAUUGGAUGAGACUGCAGAAUGCAGCCUUCACAAAGACUCUUUCCCAGCUGGUCUUAGAGAAGAUGCAGUUAGUGUAUGUUUCUGUAUUUUGACAGAUCAUCGGUCGCAUGAGUUCUUUUUAUCCCAAUAAAAAAUUCAACAAAACUAUAAAUUUAUUAACUACCACAGGUCGAGAAGUCAAAAGAUAUUGAAAGACCAACAAAUACUGAAACAGAAGAGAUGGCUGCGAGUCAGUCUGUGGCAGUGGAAUGGAAAACAGCUGGCUGUAGGAGAGGUAAAAAUGUAUAAAAUAAUAAUAUAAAGCAAAAUAUAAAAAAUAAAAAAAAAAAGUUAAAAUAGCAGUUUAAGUUAAAAAUGAAACCAAUUAAUAAUGGCUUUUGCUUUUUCAUUGGGAGCAACAGAUCCAGAGAAAAAAACUGAACCAUAUUUUUGGUCUUUAUUUAUUUUUGUCAAAAUUAAGUGUCUAUUAACAUACAUGUAUUAUUUGAACAAAUGAUUUUUGAUUUGCUUCUAAAUUCAUGCUUUCAAUCGAUAUUGAAUCUCUUUUUUCAAGGCACACUGCAUCCUGAAUUAUCAAAAAGAAAAGAUGACUCUUUAGAAACUGACCUCCGUCAGCCCACCUCUACACAGACCCUUUCAGCUACACCUCAGCAGUCCCUGGACCCUCAAGCAGCAGAGUGGUCCCUCAAAAGCAAUAUGCUGCCCAUGGACUCAGAUGAGAUGGAGAACUGGUGUGAAGGAGUUUCCCACAUGUUGCUGUCAGAUGCAUUUGUGCCUGUUUCUGAAGAGAUUGGAGAGAACAGCAUGGACCUGAAAGUGUGUGUCUCAAGCAUUCCUCAUAAGGAUGAACAAAUCGCUCUUAGUCCGACAAAGAGUGAGGAGACGCCCUCUGAAAUUUCAAGUGAAGUAUGCUAUAAUCACAUUUUACUGAUUUUUUUUUCCUUUAUUCAAAAAUGUUAAAUAAUCACAAUUAUUUAAUAAAAUAUAUUAAUAAAAUAAAA
rnacentral:lncRNA from 12 species